AGUGAACGCUGGCGGCAGGCCUAAUACAUGCAAGUCGAACGGCAGCACAGCAGAGCUUGCUCUGUGGGUGGCGAGUGGCGGACGGGUGAGGAAUACAUGGGAAUCUGCCCAGUCGUGGGGGAUAACGUAGGGAAACUUACGCUAAUACCGCAUGCGCCCUUCGGGGGAAAGCCGGGGACCUUCGGGCCUGGCGCGAUUGGAUGAGCCCAUGUCGGAUUAGCUAGUUGGCGGGGUAAUGGCCCACCAAGGCGACGAUCCGUAGCUGGUCUGAGAGGAUGAUCAGCCACACUGGAACUGAGACACGGUCCAGACUCCUACGGGAGGCAGCAGUAGGGAAUAUUGGACAAUGGGCGCAAGCCUGAUCCAGCCAUGCCGCGUGAGUGAAGAAGGCCCUCGGGUUGUAAAGCUCUUUUGUCCGGAAAGAAAAGCGCCGGGUUAAUACCCUAGUGUCCUGACGGUACCGGAAGAAUAAGCACCGGCUAACUCGUGCCAGCAGCCGCGGU
rnacentral:rRNA from 1 species